UAGAUUUUAUAUUAGGGUUGGACCUCAUCUGGCAGCACGGAAUCGCAUUUGUUCCGCCUGUGCUACCACGUGCUGCAGUGUGAUGCCGCAUGCGAACGCGCGCUGUCGCAUUCCGCAGACAAAAAAGGCGAUCGCGAUAGCAAGUGAUCGGCGGUGAAAGGAUGUGUUAGCAUGCUAUCGCGCGCUUCAGCGUUCCGGAGUCUCCCUGCCGACCAUUGCAUUUUGUCCGUGAUGCCGAUCGUCUCGAGGAUUUCGCCGCGUGCUAUCGCAUUAUGCUUUCUGUCUCGGUCUAUCAAAUGGCAGUUCUAAGCGACAGAAAGAGAAAGGGCGACGGAAAAAGGCGAUCCCUUGCUGCCAGAUGAGGUCCAACCCUAUAUUGGGUGCAUAUUAAUAGG